ACAUAGCCAUGAUCAUGUGGUAAAUUAUUUGUCAGGAUAUGGCUGUACUUGAUUAAGCCUAUAUUGUAGACAGAGUGUCCGAAUUUACCAAGGUGUUAACUUUCUUAUUCAAGAAGAGGUUGUCUAGAAGACAAAAUCAGUUGGGAAACUCAAACAAGAAAGCUGAGAUUUGCCUACAAUAGAGUGAAAGAUUUAACAACGAGAAGGCUGAGUUUGAGCAAGCUUCCUUCACAAAAGGUUCUACAAGUUGUUUGCAGUUUAGUUCAGCCAAGACAGAGCUCCGCGUCAUGCAGUCCACGUCACACUACUGGCGCAAUCUCCUUUUCCUUCUCUCCGUGAUCUGCUAUGCAGUCUGCAUGGCCACGCUCCCUUGCGUUUCACUAGUGUGGCUGUGGUGGAAUGAGAGAAAUAAAGCUAGUAAAGGUGACAAAAUUAGAUCCAUAUGGGAAGUUUCAUCUUUAGCUGAUUAUCAUCUUUUUAACUGUAUGAAGGCCAAGACUCAAGGGAAAGAGAAGAGCACCAGGAAAAAUGCAGAAAUGGAAACCACCUCCAGUGGGGAACCUGAAGAUUAAUAUUGAUGGCGCUUUCAUCGAGGCAUCAAAUAUAGGCGGCUGGGGUUUCACGCUUAGAAAUGAUCAAGGAGUUUUGUGGGCUGCUGGUGCGGGUAAGCUGAAGCAUGUGUCUGAUCCAGUACACGCUGAAAUGCUUGCCCUGCAACAGGCUACGAAUAUUUGCAAUUGAAAUGGGCUGCCAGAAGGUAAUUUUUGAAAUGGAUUCCAUGAUGUUGAAACAAGCAAUCACUAGUCCUGAGUAUGAUUUAUCAAAGUUGGGAUCCUUAUUCCAAGAUGUAAAAUUUCAGAUGCGCAUAGGCCUGAUCGUUGUAAGCUUUCAACAUUGUAAUAGAGAGUGUAAUAAAGUAGCACAUGUUUUAGCUGC